rnacentral:snRNA from 1 species
GGACUCUGGUUUUUCUCUAAAACAAAUAAAUCUUUCACCUUUUACUAAAGAUUUCCAUGGAGAACAAUUAUGAGUUGGUAACCAAAUUUUUUGAGGUCUUGCUCAGGCAAGCU